rnacentral:rRNA from 1 species
AAUGAACGCUGGCGGCAGGCCUAAAACAUGCAAGUCGAACGCUUGUAGCGAUACAAGAGUGGCGCACGGGUGCGUAACACGUGGGAAUAUGCCUAUUGGUACGGAACAACUCCGGGAAACUGGAGCUAAUACCGUAUGGUCCCUUCGGGGUAAAGAUUUAUCGCCAAUAGAUUAGCCCGCGCUGGAUUAGCUAGUUGGUAGGGUAAUGGCCUACCAAGGCGACGAUCCAUAGCUGGUCUGAGAGGACGAUCAGCCACACUGGGACUGAGACACGGCCCAGACUCCUACGGGAGGCAGCAGUUAGGAAUAUUGGACAAUGGGCGCAAGCCUGAUCCAGCCAUGCCGCGUGAGUGAUGAAGGCCUUCGGGUUGUAAAACUCUUUAGCCGAUGAGUAUAAUGACUGUAGUCGGAAAAUAAGCCCCGGCUAACUUCGUGCCAGCCGCCGCCGUAACAC